UACCUCCUACGGGACGCAGCAGUGGGGAAUAUUGCGCAAUGGGCGAAAGCCUGACGCAGCGACGCCGCGUGAGGGAUGAAGGUCUUCGGAUCGUAAACCUCUGUCAGCAGGGAAGAACGGUCACUGUGCUAAUCAGCAGUGAAUUGACGGUACCUGCAAAGGAAGCACCGGCUAACUCCGUGCCAGCAGCCGCGGUAGUACGGAGGGUGCGAGCGUUAAUCGAAAUUACUGGGCGUAAAGCGCUCGUAGGCGGUAUGUCAAGUCAAGGGUGAAAUCCCCGCGCUCAACGUGGGAACUGCCUUCUA
rnacentral:rRNA from 1 species